rnacentral:rRNA from 1 species
GCGGACGGGUGAGUAACGCGUGAGGAUCUGCCCUUAGGACGGGGACACAGUUGGAAACGAUUGCUAAUACCGGAUAUGGCGAGAGCUGAAAGAUUGUAUCGCCUGAGGAUGAACUCCCGUCUGAUUAGCUAGUUGGUGGGGUAAAGGCUUACCAAGGCGACGAUCAGUAGCUGGUCUGAGAGGAUGAUCAGCCACACUGGGACUGAGACACGGCCCAAACUCCUACGGGAGGCAGCAGUGGGGAAUUUUCCGCAAUGGGGGCAACCCUGACGGAGCAACGCCGCGUGCGGGAGGACGGUUUGUGGACUGUAAACCGCUUUUAAUAGGGAAGAAGGUCUGACGGUACCUAUUGAAUAAGCAUCGGCUGACUCCGUGCCAGCAGCCGCGGUAAUACGGAGGAUGCAAGCGUUAUCCGGAAUUAUUGGGCGUAAAGGGUCCGCAGGUGGUGCAUCAAGUCAACUGUUAAAGACUGGGGCUUAACUCCGGAGUAGCAGUUGAAACUGAUGGACUAGAGUACGGUAGGGGUAGAGGGAAUUCCUAGUGUACCGGUGAAAUGCGUAGAUAUUAGGAAGAACACCAGUGGCGAAGGCGCUCUACUGGGCCUGUACUGACACUGAGGGACGAAAGCUAGGGGAGCGAAAGGGAUUAGAUACCCCUGUAGUCCUAGCUGUAAACGAUGGAUACUAGGUGUUGCUCGUAUCGACCCGAGCAGUAUCGUAGCCAACGCGUUAAGUAUCCCGCCUGGGGAGUACGCACGCAAGUGUGAGACUCAAAGGAAUUGACGGGGGCCCGCACAAGCGGUGGAGGAUGU